AUUGAACGCUGGCGGCAGGCCUAACACAUGCAAGUCGAGCGGAGUGGCGAACGGGUGAGUAAUCCCUCGGAAUCUGCCUGGUAGUGGGGGAUAACGAUAGGAAACGGAAGCUAAUACCGCAUACUAUCAGAUGAGCCUAUGUCGGAUUCGCUAGUUGGUGAGGUAAUGGCUCACCAAGGCUACGAUCCGUACCUGGUCUGAGAGGAUGAUCAGUCAAACUGGAACUGAGACACGGUCCAGACUCCUACGGGAGGCAGCAGUGGGGAAUAUUGGACAAUGGGCGAAAUCCUGAUACAGCCAUGCCGUGUGUGUGAAGAAGGUCUUCGGAUUGUAAAGCACUUUAAGUUGGGAGGCGUUACCGGCAGAAUAAGCACCGGCUAACUCUGUGCCAGCAGCCGCGGUAAUUC
rnacentral:rRNA from 1 species